UUUAUCCGUGUGAAGUGAGAGAGACUUUGGUCAUCAUUACAAUCUAUACACGAGAUUUCAGAAUUAUUUUCUCAUCUCUCCCAGACUCUUUGUUUUCUCCGCAGUUUCGAUUAUACUCUCUCUCAAUCUCUUUGAUUUCUCCGUUAGAACCAAUGUCCACAUAGAAUCUUACAUCUCUCUCAUUCUUUCUAAGUUUUUCCUACAAUACCUUAGCGACGAUACCGGCUUCCAUCAAUUGCAAUCAUCUAUUAAAAUCCAUCGGAAUCGUUGCUCCAAAACAAUCUCAUACUCGCCGGAAUCUCACUGUAUUCAAUUAUCUCCUAUUCGAUUGUAAGUAUAGAUCAUGUCACUAAUUGAUGCUAUUGUUUUGUUUGAUGAGUACGUGAUGAUGAUGGCUGCUGGAUAUCAUUUUUUGAAACCACCAAUGAACUGAACAGUCGCAAACCCCCUCAAAAGCACCAAUGCAAAUUAUGUGUAUACGGGAAUCAAAAGAGUAGUGUAUGUGAGCUUCUUCGAACAGUAGAUAGGAGCUGCGUCUGGACACAAAAAUAGUGCUUAGUCUUGGUGAUUCUUUACGAGCAAAUGCUAUUAACUUAGCUAUGAUUUACUGUUAGACUGUUAACAUAUGUAAUAGCCUAGAAAUCCAAUGUUAGAUUGCUAACAAUUUUAAUAGCAUAUAAUCAUUUAUCUGUU